GUGGGGAAUAUUGGGCAAUGGGCGCAAGCCUGACCCAGCAACGCCGCGUGAAGGAAGAAGGCUUUCGGGUUGUAAACUUCUUUUGUCAGGGACGAAGCAAGUGACGGUACCUGACGAAUAAGCCACGGCUAACUACGUGCCAGCAGCCGCGGUAAUACGUAGGUGGCAAGCGUUAUCCGGAUUUACUGGGUGUAAAGGGCGUGUAGGCGGGAAAGCAAGUCAGAUGUGAAAACUGUGGGCUCAACCCACAGCCUGCAUUUGAAACUGUUUUUCUUGAGUACUGGAGAGGCAGAUGGAAUUCCUAGUGUAGCGGUGAAAUGCGUAGAUAUUAGGAGGAACACCAGUGGCGAAGGCGAUCUGCUGGACAGCAACUGACGCUGAGGCGCGAAAGCGUGGGGAGCAAACAGGAUUAGAAACCCCAGUAGUCC
rnacentral:rRNA from 1 species